rnacentral:rRNA from 1 species
AUUGAACGCUGGCGGCAUGCCUUACACAUGCAAGUCGAACGGUAACCGGUCUUCUGCUUCUGCCGGGUCGAGGACGGUUGAGAAAUACAUCGUAACGCGCCCGUACGUUGGGUCAAAGUAGGCGAUAGCUUUGCUAAUACCGCACUCGUUCUACGUAUGAAAUCGGGUGGCCUUCGGACCUCGCGCGGACGGACCGGCCGGUGCGGGAUUAGGUAGUUGGUGGGAUAAAGGCUUACCAAGCCGACGAUCUGUAGCUGGACUGAGAGGAUGAUCAGCCACACUGGGACUGAGACACGGCCCAAACUCCUACGGGAGGCAGCAGUAGGGAAUUUUGGGCAAUGGGCGAAAGCCUGAUGGAGCAAUGCCGCGUGCAGGAAGAAGGCCUUUGGAUUGUAAACUGCUGUUGUAAGGAACGAAAAGCCUAUAGAUAAAAAAGAGGGGUCGUGACGGUACCGUAAGAGAAAGCACCGGCUAACUACGUG